UACGUAGGGUGCAAGCGUUUGUCCGGAAUUAUUGGGCGUAAAGGGCUCGUAGGCGGUCCGUCACGUCGGGAGUGAAAACUUGGGGCUUAACCCCAAGCCUGCUUCCGAUACGGGCGGACUAGAGGUAGGCAGGGGAGAACGGGAAUUCCUGGUGUAGCGGUGAAAUGCGCAGAUACCAGGAGGAACGACCGGUGGCGAAGGCGGCAAUCCGUGGACCCGGUAGUUGGACGCUGAAUAGACGAA
rnacentral:rRNA from 1 species